rnacentral:rRNA from 1 species
UACGUGUGGUCCGAGCGUUGUCCGGAAUGACUGGGCGUAAAGGGUGUGUAGGUGGAUUUGCAAGUCAGGUGUGAAAUCCCUCGGCUUAACUGAGGAACUGCGCUUGAAACUGCAAGUCUUAGAGCAUGUCAGGGGUAAGCGGAAUUCCCGGAGUAGCGGUGAAAUGCGUAGAUAUCGGGAAGAACAUCGGUGGCGAAGGCGGCUUACUGGGACAUUGCUGACACUGAGGCACGAAAGCGUGGGGA